GACGAACGCUGGCGGCGUGCCUAAUACAUGCAAGUCGAGCGAGACUCUUCGGAGUCUAGCGGCGGACGGGUGAGUAACACGUGGGCAACCUGCCUGUAAGACUGAGAUAACACCGGGAAACCGGUGCUAAUACCGGAUAAUCCUUUUCCUCUCAUGAAGAAAAGCUGAAAGUCGGUUUCGGCUGACACUUACAGAUGGGCCCGCGGCGCAUUAGCUAGUUGGUGAGGUAACGGCUCACCAAGGCGACGAUGCGUAGCCGACCUGAGAGGGUGAUCGGCCACACUGGGACUGAGCCACGGCCCAGACUCCUACGGGAGGCAGCAGUAGGGAAUCUUCCACAAUGGACGAAAGUCUGAUGGAGCAACGCCGCGUGAGCGAUGAAGGCCUUCGGGUCGUAAAGCUCUGUUGUUAGGGAAGAACAAGUACCGGAGUAACUGCCGGUACCUUGACGGUACCUAACCAGAAAGCCACGGCUAACUACGUGCCAGCAGCCGCCGUAACAC
rnacentral:rRNA from 1 species